rnacentral:rRNA from 1 species
AUUAUAGGGGAUAAGCUCUAUAGUCUAUUUUAUAAUCUGUUAGUUUAAUUAGAUUUUUGUAGGCUUGAUAACAGCCAUCAUUUAUUUCGUUACAGUUAUUGUCUAUUUAUUAUUUAUUUAUUAAUGAUUUAAUUUGUUAUUAGAUUUAUUUUAUUUAAUUUUUUAUUUUAAGAAAUAAUGAUAGAAUUAGUAGUUUUGAAUAUUUAAAUAUAGGAACUCGGCAAAAAUAGUCCUCACCUGUUUAACAAAAACAUGUCCUUUAGAUAUAUAAUUAAAGGUCUAACCUGCCCAGUGAUAAACUUAAACGGCCGCAGUAUUCUGACUGUGCGAAGGUAGCAUAAUCAUUUG